GAUGAACGCUGGCGGCGUGCCUAAUACAUGCAAGUCGAGCGAACUGAUUAGAAGCUUGCUUCUAUGACGUUAGCGGCGGACGGGUGAGUAACACGUGGGCAACCUGCCUGUAAGACUGGGAUAACUUCGGGAAACCGAAGCUAAUACCGGAUAGGAUCUUCUCCUUCAUGGGAGGUGAUUGAAAGAUGGUUUCGGCUAUCACUUACAGAUGGGCCCGCGGUGCAUUAGCUAGUUGGUGGGGUAAUGGCCCACCAAGGCGACGAUGCGUAGCCGACGUGAGAGGGUGAUGGGCCACACUGGGACUGAGACACGGCCCAGACUCCUACGGGAGGCAGCAGUAGGGAAUCUUCCGCAAUGGACGAAAGUCUAACGGAGCAACGCCGCGUGAGUGAAGAAGGUUUUCGGAUCGUAAAACUCUGUUGUUAGGGAAGAACACGUAUGGGAGUAACUGCCCGUACCUUGACGGUACCUAACCAGAAAGCCACGGCUAACUACGUGCCAGCAGCCGCCGUAAUAC
rnacentral:rRNA from 1 species